UACGGAGGGUGCAAGCGUUGUCCGGAUUUAUUGGGUUUAAAGGGUGCGUAGGCGGCUUUUUAAGUCAGUGGUGAAAGACAACAGCUCAACUGUUGCAGUGCCAUUGAUACUGAAGAGCUUGAGUACAGAUGAGGUAGGCGGAAUUUAUGGUGUAGCGGUGAAAUGCAUAGAUACCAUAAAGAACACCUAUUGCGAAGGCAGCUUACUAAGCUGUAACUGACGCUGAGGCACGAAAAGUGUGGGGGAUCAAAACAGG
rnacentral:rRNA from 1 species